rnacentral:ncRNA from 1 species
ACAAAAACGAAGAAGAGGAAAAGUAAUCAUUGAUGUAACAUCAACAGAGAGCCGUGGUGCUGAGAUGCGGUGUUGUUACCUUUGACGAAGCUCGCCUCAGAGUACCAAUCUGAACGAAUGUUUUCUAUUAAGAUUGGUCGAGUGUACACAGCACUCGUUAUCAAAACAAUUAAGAUUAAAUAGGGGCUUUCUCUAUUUAAUGAAUAAGGGUGGUACCGUGGAAAGAAGUCUUUUCGCCCCUUUU